rnacentral:tRNA from 1 species
GGCGAUAUUGCUCAGUAGUAGAGCACUAGUUUGGCAAACAUGAGACCCUGGGUUCAAUUUCUAGCAUCACAA